rnacentral:rRNA from 1 species
GACGUAGGGGGCCAGCGUUGUUCGGAAUUACUGGGUGUAAAGGGUUCGUAGGCGGUGUGGCAAGUCGGGAGUGAAAUCUCUGGGCUCAACCCAGAGGCUGCUUCCGAAACUGCUGUGCUUGAGUGUGGGAGAGGCGCGUGGAAUUGCAGGUGUAGCGGUGAAAUGCGUAGAUAUCGGAAGGAACAUCGGUGGCGAAAGCGGCGCGCUGGACCUCUUCUGACGCUGAGGCGCGAAAGCCAGGGGAGCAAACGGG